AGCAGAAAGCGGCGGACGGGUGAGUAACGCGUAGGCAACCUGCCCCAUACAGAGGGAUAGCCUCGGGAAACCGGGAUUAAAACCUCAUAAUACGAAAGAUUCACAUGUUUCUUUCGUCAAAGAUUUAUCGGUAUGGGAUGGGCCUGCGUCUGAUUAGCUAGUUGGUGAGGUAACGGCUCACCAAGGCAACGAUCAGUAGCCGACCUGAGAGGGUAAUCGGCCACAUUGGAACUGAGACACGGUCCAAACUCCUACGGGAGGCAGCAGUGGGGAAUAUUGCACAAUGGGCGAAAGCCUGAUGCAGCAACGCCGCGUGAGCGAUGAAGGCCUUUGGGUCGUAAAGCUCUGUCCUUGGGGAAGAAAAAAAUGACGGUACCCUUGGAGGAAGCCCCGGCUAACUACGUGCCAGCAGCCGCGGUAAUACGUAGGGGGCAAGCGUUAUCCGGAAUUAUUGGGCGUAAAGAGUGCGUAGGUGGUUUUGUAAGCGCGGGGUGAAAGGCUAUGGCUCAACCAUAGUAAGCCCUGCGAACUGUAAGACUUGAGUGCAGGAGAGGAAAGUGGAAUUCCUAGUGUAGCGGUGAAAUGCGUAGAUAUUAGGAGGAACACCAGUGGCGAAGGCGACUUUCUGGACUGUAACUGACACUGA
rnacentral:rRNA from 1 species